GUGACAGAAGAGAGUGAGCACAAAUGGUGCCUUUCUUGCAUAGGUUUAUGCUCGAAGCUAUGUGUGCUUACUCUCUAUCUGUCAC
rnacentral:pre_miRNA from 1 species